rnacentral:tRNA from 1 species
GAGGGUGUAGCCUAGCGGACAAGGUGUUAGACUUCUAAUCUAAAGGUCGUAGGUUCGAAUCCUACCACCCUCA